AGGUAGAGGCCUUGUCCACCUAAUUUUAAUACGUUCAAAUGAAAGAGAGAAACACAGUGGAAGAUUAAGAGUCACGCUUGACACUUCCAAGAAAAGCAGUUCCUUGUUGAUCACGGCUUCCCGGGCAGCAGACACUGCUUCUUACUUCUGUGCUACGGACGCACACAAACUAAUCUUUGGGCAAGGGACAACUUUACAAGUAAAACCAGUAUCCAGAACCCUGACCCUGCCGUGUACCAGC
rnacentral:lncRNA from 1 species